rnacentral:rRNA from 1 species
GACGAACGCUGGCGGCGUGCUUAACACAUGCAAGUCGAACGGAAAGGCACUGGUUUGGUGGGGUACUCGAGUGGCGAACGGGUGAGUAACACGUGCGUGACCUGCCCUUGACUUUGGGAUAACCUCAGGAAACUGGGUCUAAUACCGGAUAGGACGACCUGCUGCAUGGUGGGGGUGGGAGAGUUUCCGCGGUUGGGGAUGGACUCGGGGCUUAUCAGCUUGUUGGUGGGGUAUUGGCUUCCAAAGGCUUUGACGGGUAGCCGGCCUGAGAGGGUAACCGGCCACAUUGGGACUGAGAUACGGCCCAGACUCCUACGGGAGGCAGCAGUGGGGAAUAUUGCACAAUGGGCGGAAGCCUGAUGCAGCGACGCCGCGUGCGGGAUGACGGCCUUCUGGUUGUAAACCGCUUUCGCUUGUGACGAAGCGGGAGUGACGGUAAUGGGAGAAGAAGCACCGGCUAACUACGUG